AUUGAACGCUGGCGGCAGGCCUAACACAUGCAAGUCGAGCGGCAGCGGGAAAGUAGCUUGCUACUUUUGCCGGCGAGCGGCGGACGGGUGAGUAAUGCCUGGGAAAUUGCCCAGUCGAGGGGGAUAACAGUUGGAAACGACUGCUAAUACCGCAUACGCCCUACGGGGGAAAGCAGGGGACCUUCGGGCCUUGCGCGAUUGGAUAUGCCCAGGUGGGAUUAGCUAGUUGGUGAGGUAAUGGCUCACCAAGGCGACGAUCCCUAGCUGGUCUGGGAGAAUGAUCGGCCACACUGGAACUGAGAGACGGUCCAGACUCCUACGGGAGGCAGCAGUGGGGAAUAUUGCACAAUGGGGGAAACCCUGAUGCAGCCAUGCCGCGUGUGUGAAGAAGGCCUUCGGGUUGUAAAGCACUUUCAGCGAGGAGGAAAGGUUGUUGGCUAAUAUCCAACAGCUGUGACGUUACUCGCAGAAGAAGCACCGGCUAACUCCGUGCCAGCCGCCGCCGCUGUAA
rnacentral:rRNA from 1 species